AAUUUCCACCCCCACCCCCAAUACAGCAGGGACCAUUUCUGACACAUACACCACAGCAUCCCAAGAAUGUGCUUAGUGAAAGAAAGUCACAAAUGACUACAUGUGAUUUGAUUCCAUUUAUAUAAAGUGUCCAGUUGGCAAAUAUAUGUGACAAGAUUUGCUUAGGGUGGGGUGGGAAGAAAAGGAAUCGAAAUGGUUGGGGACAAUAGCUAAAGUAUAUGAGUUUUCUUCAGAAUUUCGUGAAAAUGUUCUAAAAUUGUGCCAAAUGAACACAUAGCAUGCAUAUACUGAAACUCAUGAGUUGUGUGGUAUGUAACAAAUACAAAAUAUAGGAAGUUGGAUAUUACACAAAUGUCCCUCACUUGGAAAAUGAGUAACUCCACUUACAUACGUUGCAGCCAUUAAAAUAGAAGACUGUAUCUAUGAAUAUAUUCUCACCUAAACUCCCAACAGUUUGCGUUAACUUACAAAUCAAAGAGAAGGUGG